UGCUGUGGCAACACUGAGGUCUGCCCUUCUGAUCCUGGCUCACUCUGGCCCUCUCUGCACACCCUCUGAUCCCUGCAGUCUGACCCAGAGCAUGGAGCCACCGAAGACGUCGGAACUGUCGUGCCCCAGCCCUGAUCUUCAUCCUUCACCAGAGGAAUCUCUCAAAAUAAACACAGAGUUUUGUGAGGAAAGUGUGACAUACUCAGAUCUCAGAAUUCAUAAUACUUCCAAUAUUCAGAAAGAAAAUGUGACUAGGAAUUUGAAGAUAAAAGAGUCUUCCUGGGCCCUCGCUGCAGUGGUAUUUGCCUGCCUUUAUUUAAUUGUUCUGGUCGUAGCUGCAAUUAUGAUAGCUAAAGUUAAGUAUCUAGAAAGACUGCUAAAGGCAGAGGAAAGCAAUCUGCAAAAUGAGACUGCACAUUAAAAAAUGCUACAGUAGAACAGAGGUAACUUCUCCUUCUUUAAAGAAAACUGAUAUAUUAUCUCUGCUGAAACUAUAAUCUUGGCAGCAAGAAAAUGCUUCUGAAGCACUGAGUUCCAGUCUUAUCGAGCAGGACAAAUAGCAAGGAAGAACUGGAAGUGCAUGGCAUGCUAUUCAUUCUUCUAUUUUCUCUACAGGAGAUAAUUACAGAUAGAGACUUUUUAACAUCUUGUGUUCAUUCGAUCACGUAAAACUCAACUUAUUAUCAUUGGAGAUCUCUUAAUGAAACAGAAAAUAUCAAGAUAGGGACUUCAAAGGAUUGUGUCAUUUUUUAAUUUUAAAUAUAUUUACAUACAGAUGUAAAUAUAUGAUCCGUAAAAACUUCAGACCUGGGUAAAUAAAUAGGGGAGGAAAUCGUGCAGGACAUACAAACUAGAGGGAAUCUAGUCACGAUCGGCACCUGAGAUGUGGUUACUGUUUAUUGCUUGCUUCUGAUAUUUCUGGCACCAGCACUUCAGUGAUUACAUGUAUUAAAGCAGGUACUGUCCCAAUAUCCUACAAGACAGUGCUACCAUUAUUGCUAUAGUAAUAAUGAAGAAGCCAAGGCCCAGAGAGGAUGAGAAAUGUUUCAAAGGUUGAAUAGCUAGUAAGAAUUAGCACCAAGAUUUAAGCCAAGACAGACUUUCUCUAGAGACCAUGAACUUAACCACAACGCUAUGCUGACCCCAGAACAACAUGUCACAUCGAACCAAGUUGUAUGAAUAUUGCUUCUUUGGAAACAGUCAGGGCUGCUUAUACCAGCAGGUCGACAUUUUUCUCUCCUGGAUGUAUCUUUCAGAGAAGAAACAAAUGAUUAAAAAACUUUUCAGAAUCCAAUUUCACUGUAGCUACUGAAGCGAUGCUAUUAGACUCUAGCAAGUGUAAAGAACACAGGUCUUCUUUUUUGUUUAGUUCUCCUUUACUAUGGGGUUGUUGCCGCUCGACUGUUUUCCUUUUUCGCUGCAUCCACAUUCUGUUAUUCCCUUCAAUAAAGGCUUCAAAGUGUAUGAGUGGUGGCAGAUUCGUGGCGUGUAUGCAGACACUUCCCUUAUGGGGCUUUUGGAAGGCACUCCUCACAAACACAGCAUCCCUCCCCACGGAGGCUGGACUCCAGUUGGAAUAAUUCUCAACAAAGCCCAUCUGAAUGUCUUUCCCCAGCUGAACUGCUGUCUUCGUAUUAUGUUUCAAAUUGAACCUGUACAUACAGAUCACCAGUGAAUGCUUUCAGAAAGAAUAAGUAAAAGUAUAUUUAAAAAUAAAGUUAAAAACAGGAUAGAGUCACAUUAUUUAAAGAAAUAGAACUAGAAAUGGGUGCUAACUACCUGUUAAAUAUUCUUUUAAAAUAAAAUGCGUGGGGGUAACAGUGGAUAAUAACUUACUUUUCUAGGGACCCCAUAGUCUAUAAAAAGGUAGUUGGCUACCUUCCCUUCAUAUAUGUUCAGAAAAGAUCUUAUACGCUAAAUGUAUAUUCUCUGAAAUAAAGGGAAUAUUGGCAUCUCAGAAACAAAGCAGUGAGCUAUGAAAUAACAGAGUUUUUAUUUCUCUUCAGAGUCUGUUGACAACAAGGCUCCUGAAUCUUACAGCACGUGGGCUACUUGGAACAGUUUCCUCUCUACCCACAGGGGUACCUCCCACCUGUUACUGGCAAAUUUGCAUGUGUGUGCUGACAUUUUAUGUAACCUCAUUUUCAAAAAUUUCAGGGAGAUACACACCAAACCCCGCCCCCUGGCUGGUGUAGUUCAGUGGAUUGAGCAGGGGCCUGCAAAUCAAAGGGUUGCCCAAUUGAUUCCUGGUCAGGGCACAUGCCUGGAUUGCAGGCCAGGCCCUACUGAUGUUUCUCUCCCUCUCUGUCUCCCUCCCUUCCCCCCUCUAAAAAUAAAUAAAUCAAACAUUCUUUUAAAAAAACCUAACCCCUGCAAAUUGCUACUUUUUUAUUUAGAGUGACCAUCUGCAAAAUAAAAUAUUUAGAGAAGAAAAGUAUACAGUAAACUAGACACUGCGGAGUGGAAAGAGUCUGGUAGAGUAUAUAAACCUUCUGUUACUAGUAGGUUGUUUCUGCAAUAGUAAAAUAGGGACAACUGUAAAGCACACAUUCUUACUCAUCGUAUGUACCUUUGGACCAAGUCCCGUGGAAUAAACAAAGAAAGGUGCUGCUGUGUCAGACUGUGGACAAGCCGUGGAAGCACACGAGACUGGGAGAAACAGCCUCCAGCUCGUCGCCAUCAGAAUUUUAACGCUGAAGCCUUUGAUAAGCGAAACCGAAAUAACUGCUAAUUGUUUAUGCUUUGUUUCGAUGAAGAUCCUAUCUAAGAGACAAUGGAAAGAAGUUAAACUUCACUUCUGAGAUUUUAAAGCCAAGUUCUUUGCAGCACAUUCACGCAGGUGGGUCUAAGUAGUUGUCUCAGAGUCACCGUGUUUUACGAUAAGUUGGAGUUCUGAAUAGUGCUCAAGUGUAAAACCCGUUGUGAAAAUGUACGGAGCAAGUUGAUUUCUCGGGUGGUCUUGAACAGCCUCCUCACAUUGCCCAACCUUCUCCUAGUGUUCCAAGCACUUUUUCAUUGGCUCACCCCAGCUCUUCUUAAAAACUCUCCCACCUGGCUUUUCCGGAGUUGAAUCCAAUAUCUCUCCCUUGUGGCAGUCUUUGAAUAGUCUUCCUGGCCUGUUUAAUUCUGUUCAGUUCACAUUUGAGGGAUCUGGGUUAAAACUCUCCACUAAUUCUUUACACCAUUCUUGCAACUUUUUCUGUAAGGCUAAAAUUACUUUUUAUUUCGUUUUAUGAAACUAGAAUCUCCUCCCCUAUUGAGGUUACUCACUAGUUUAAAAACUAGUAAAGAAAAGAAUCAAGUAUUUCUCCAGCAAACAGUUUUCUGUAUAAACUGUAGCAUAGAUUAACCUAAUCGUCGAUGGGGUAAAGUUAGCAAAUAUUAUUUUGAUCAGUAAAUGAAAAGAGAAUGUUUAAAUUAAAAUAUCACCAUUUUGCCAUGUGUAAUGAGUUAAU